rnacentral:rRNA from 1 species
AUACGGAGGGUGCGAGCGUUAAUCGGAAUUACUGGGCGUAAAGGGUGCGUAGGCGGCUUGAUAAGUCGGAUGUGAAAGCCCCGGGCUUAACCUGGGAAUUGCAUUCGAUACUGUCAGGCUAGAGUAUGUCAGAGGUUGGCGGAAUUCCUAGUGUAGCGGUGAAAUGCGUAGAUAUCAGGAGGAACACCAGUGGCGAAGGCGGCUAACUGGGGCAAUACUGACGCUGAGGCACGAAAGCGUGGGGAGCAAACAGGAUUAGAUACCCUAGUAGUCC